CCUAGCCGUUUUGUGUGCAAUUUGUGUCAGAAAAAGAGAGAAAAACGUGUGCAUUAUGAGAGAAAUCAGCAGCCUGCUUUGUUGCCAAAAACUUAUAGCUUCUCCUUUGAUUUUGUUCUCUUCUUUAGCCUUCUUUCCUUCUUUUUCUUCUUCCCUUUGUGGUUCCAAAUCAACACCGUUAUCUUGUCCUUUUUGGGUGAGAUUGAGAAUGUUGUGGAUCAAAACCAAGGGAGAAUCCAGCAUGAACAUUCAGCUAGGGUGAAGGUUGACUUUGAUCAUUGGCCGUUGACAAUCAAAGAUUGUAAAAGUUCGAUUCGACCGGUGGUCGGUCUUUUAUUAAAAUUUGAUUAAAUAAUAUUAAAAAUUAGUCAAUAUAUAUGUAAAUCCACCAAAACGUAAAAAUUAUAUACAUAUGAAAAUAUAGUUCAAUACAACCCAAAAUAAUAAAAAAAUAUAUACAAUACAAUUUCAACCUUACUCUGUAAUUGUAAACUUAAACAACUGAAUUUUAUGGGGUCUCAUAUUUUGAAAGCGUUGCAAUAAUGUAAACUUUUUCAAUGAUUACGAUCUUCCCUAAACAAUUGCCAAUUAAUCAAAUCUAAAGCAAUCAAGUCACUACAUUUGCAUGAUCACAUAAUAAAUUUUCCAAUCAAUCAGAUCAUUCAAACUAAAGAGCACGCAAUGAAUUUACCAACAACUAACCCAAAACUGGAAAAUUAAACUAUUAGUCUACUAUCCACUUCAUGAAACAAUUUGAUUUCCAAUUUUUUAAACCUCACUCAACAAAGAAUCUAUUAUCAGGAAAAAAAACUAGAAAAUUAAACUAACCCAAAACUGGAAAAUUAAACUACUUCGUAUGCAUUUGUAGCCUGUGGGCGUGUAAUAUAUAAGCCAGAAAAAGGCAGUACCUGCUGUGGACUCGGGACUUCACAAAUCACAUAGCAAAGUUGUAGAUCAAAAAGAUUUGCUAAAACUGGAACGUGUGUGCCUGCGUGGAGAGCUUUUGGUAAGGAAUUGAGUGGAACGAAUUGGGGGAAACAGAACUCAAGAAUGGUUCCCACUUUGCUUCUCUCUGCUGGGGUUUGACGAGAAGGAGAUUAGGAGAAGAUUUCCCUUUUCAUUCAUUUGGCAUUUGAGCAGUUGGGCCUGCCCAGUUA
rnacentral:lncRNA from 1 species